rnacentral:lncRNA from 1 species
AUACACUCAGCUCACCAUUUUUUUCUUUUCUCCAUACGCACACCCACACACUCUACAUACAAAUACACAACACACACAAUAAUCUCACAAUCACACUCCUCCAUCACUCACACAACAACAACAACACACAGUAAAAAAAUGCACACACACACAUGAUACACCCAAUCGACGGAAUACACACGCCGAGAGAGAAAUCGAGAGGGAGAUUGAGACAGAUCCAAAAAAGAGAGAGUGAAAAUAAGGAGAGAGAGAGAGAACUGAAGAGGUAGACCGUUCCGGCGAUUCGUCGCCGGAAAAACAUCAUCUUUUUUCCAAAAUUUGAUCUGACUUUUCUUCUGCUUUUCAUUCCUUCUGGGCUCGUCGGAGUUCCAUCAGCUCCGUCAUAUUCCGGCAAAAUCACUGAACCAGCCGCACUGCCAGUCCGAUUUUCUCUAAAUUCUGGCAAGCCAUUUCCUUCCCGUCACUGCCUGAUCUCACCGGAGCUCCGGUGAGUGGCGAAGCAUCGGAAGAAAACAGGGGGGUCGUCUUUGGAAUUUCGAGUUCGAGCUUCGUCCGUGAUUAAUUAAUUGGUGAUUAAUUAAUUGGUUUCAGGCUCCCGUCGUAGUUGAAAUCAGUUUAAUUAGUCGAAUAAAAUCCCCAAUUUAAGGUGCAUCUCUUUAUCUCAUUCUUAUCCUUAGUUAAUUUUUAUUGUUGUGUGUGGUUGAUUGCUAUUGUCUCAACUUUUUUUUUUAUCUUAUGCGUGAUGUGAAUGAUGAAUGUCGAAUGAUAUUGAUUGUGGAUUGCUGAAAUAUUUUGUUGAUUUGUUAUGUUGGAACAAUGGUUGAGAAUGAUUUGGGAUGGGAAUUGAAAGUUAAUGAAGUAAAUAAAAUCGAUUGUUUGAUUUGAAAUGGAUAUUAAUGUCGAUUGAAUUCGGGUUAAUUUUGAUCCAUUGGUGAUGUUAACGUGAUAGAAUCAUGAUAUGCCAAGUCGGGUAGGCAAAUAGUAGGUUCGGG